rnacentral:rRNA from 1 species
UACGGAGGGUGCGAGCGUUGUCCGGAAUCAUUGGGCGUAAAGGGCGCGUAGGUGGCGGGACAAGCGUGCGGUGAAAGCUCGGGGCUCAACCCCGAGUCGGCCGUGCGAACUGUUUUGCUUGAGCACUGUAGAGGCAGGCGGAAUUCCGGGUGUAGCGGUGGAAUGCGUAGAUAUCAGGAGGAACACCGAUGGCGAAGGCAGGUCUCUGGGCCGACAUUGACGCUGAGGAGCGAAAGCGUGGGGAGCGAACAGG